GGGGGCGUGGCGGAAUUGGCAGACGCACCGGACUUAAAAUCCGGAUCCUGAGAAGGAGUGUGGGUUCGAGUCCCACCGCCCCUA
rnacentral:tRNA from 1 species